GACGAACGCUGGCGGCGUGCUUAACACAUGCAAGUCGAACGGAAAGGCCCUGCUUUUGUGGGGUGCUCGAGUGGCGAACGGGUGAGUAACACGUGAGUAACCUGCCCUUGACUUUGGGAUAACUUCAGGAAACUGGGGCUAAUACCGGAUAGGAGCUCCUGCUGCAUGGUGGGGGUUGGAAAGUUUCGGCGGUUGGGGAUGGACUCGCGGCUUAUCAGCUUGUUGGUGGGGUAGUGGCUACCAAGGCUUUGACGGGUAGCCGGCCUGAGAGGGUGACCGGCCACAUUGGGACUGAGAUACGGCCCAGACUCCUACGGGAGGCAGCAGUGGGGAAUAUUGCACAAUGAGCGGAAGCCUGAUGCAGCAACGCCGCGUGCGGGAUGACGGCCUUCGGGUUGUAAACCGCUUUCGCCUGUGACGAAGCGUGAGUGACGGUAAUGGGUAAAGAAGCACCGGCUAACUACGUG
rnacentral:rRNA from 1 species